rnacentral:lncRNA from 1 species
GCCCCAUCCUGGAUAACUACAUCUCGGCGCUCAGCGCGCUCUGGCACCCGGACUGUUUCGUCUGCAGGAAUGCUUCGCGCCCUUCUCGGGAGGCAGCUUUUUCGAGCACGAGGGCCGCCCGUUGUGCGAGAACCACUUCCACGCACGACGCGGCUCGCUGUGCGCCACGUGUGGCCUCCCUGUGACCGGCCGCUGCGUGUCGGCCCUGGGUCGCCGCUUCCACCCGGACCACUUCACAUGCACCUUCUGCCUGCGCCCGCUCACCAAGGGGUCCUUCCAGGAGCGCGCCGGCAAGCCCUACUGCCAGCCCUGCUUCCUGAAGCUCUUCGGCUGACAGCCCGCUCGGCUCGCCCUCUCCCCCGGAGGCCGCGCCCUCCCGGAAAAGCCGGGUCCUCCAGACCCCGAGGCCUUGCUCUCAGAGCGGGAGGCCCCACCCACUGGAGAGCCCCGCCCCUAAGGUACUAUGAGUCCUCAGGGGUCAAGUUCAGAAACGGCCCAGCCAGACCUAAACCCACACGCCCACAAAGUGGAUUGCACACAGACAAGAACUCCCGUGCGGGCCUCCACUCUAUUCCCACCCUUGAGGGAGCCCCCUUACUGGGGGAGGGUCCUUGCAAUUCCAGCGAAUCGGAGGCCAGGCCAGGACGUCCUUGCUCCCUGCACCCUCACUGUUCUGUGCACUUUUUCUACCUACAUAAACACACGCAUUCCACCUC